rnacentral:rRNA from 1 species
ACUUUCAACAAUGGAUCUCUUGGUUCUGGCAUCGAUGAAGAACGCAGCGAAAUGCGAUAAGUAGUGUGAAUUGCAGAAUUCAGUGAAUCAUCGAAUCUUUGAACGCACAUUGCGCCCCUCGGUAUUCCGUGGGGCAUGCCUGUUCGAGCGUCAUUUA